AACCAGCAAUAUUCGCCGGUGCGCAGCCUCCCACAACAGGACCUGGGCCAGCUGGAGAAGCCUGCCUGUCAGCCACACUGCUUGCAGUUUCCGCUGCAGCCCAGAACGGAGGAUCUGCAGAGAAAACCUAGAGAGGAAAAUGCCACCUGCCAGCCCCAUUAAUCAGAAAAUGCCCACUUUCUCUGGAAGGCUCCAUUUCCAGCCGUGACUCGGAUUAGAUUUCUAGUCCCACGAAGCUCGGACACGUCCCAGUGAAGGAAAACUCUCAAAGGCAAAAGGAGAAAUAAUCCCAUGAUGGCAACUCUAAAAGGAGCAUGUCACAUCUCCAUGUCCAUCUCCAGAAGCUGAACCUGUGCCCAGCGCGUACCUGCAGAUGGCAGCUCUCUACCAACACAAUGUUCAUCAUUUCCUCUUACCCCAUAAACCUUGGCAAGGGCAGGUGCCCCUUCCCAUCCCUUGCAGCCCGGUAAGGUCAAUUCAUCCUGAUCUUAGCUGAGGCUUUUGCCAUUUAAAGACACGUCGGAUAUUUUGGUUCUGAGUUUCCACCUUUAUCAUUAAAGCAAUUAUCGGCUAAAAAUGCUCUGCUCCCUAAAACAAUGCCAUCAGACGGCGGCGGGAGCAGAUCUGAAGUUAUAAAUAACUUCCUUUCUUCCUGCUACUUGUUUGCAGGGCUAUA